rnacentral:rRNA from 1 species
UUCCGUAGGGUGAACCUGCGGAAGGAUCAUUACCGAGUGAGGGCCCUCUGGGUCCAACCUCCCACCCGUGUUUAUCGUACCUUGUUGCUUCGGCGGGCCCGCCUCACGGCCGCCGGGGGGCAUCCGCCCCCGGGCCCGCGCCCGCCGAAGACACACAAACGAACUCUUGUCUGAAGAUUGCAGUCUGAGUACUUGACUAAAUCAGUUAAAACUUUCAACAACGGAUCUCUUGGUUCCGGCAUCGAUGAAGAACGCAGCGAAAUGCGAUAAGUAAUGUGAAUUGCAGAAUUCAGUGAAUCAUCGAGUCUUUGAACGCACAUUGCGCCCCCUGGUAUUCCGGGGGGCAUGCCUGUCCGAGCGUCAUUGCUGCCCUCAAGCACGGCUUGUGUGUUGGGCUCUCGCCCCCCGCUUCCGGGGGGCGGGCCCGAAAGGCAGCGGCGGCACCGCGUCCGGUCCUCGAGCGUAUGGGGCUUCGUCACCCGCUCUGUAGGCCCGGCCGGCGCCCGCCGGCGAACACCAUCAAUCUUAACCAGGUUGACCUCGGAUCAGGUAGGGAUACCCGCUGAACUUAAGCAUAUCAAUAAGCGGAGGA